rnacentral:lncRNA from 1 species
CGUGAAGUUCAUAAUAAUGACCUCCUUUGUGAAACAUAUUUUUUUAGACAAGGUUUGGAUUAUGUUGUUCCAUACAACUAUCCAAAUCAACUUCAUAUCAGACGUGAUCAACUAGCUACUCUUUAGGAAGUUAGUUUGAUAAAUCAGAAUGCAUCGAGGCUAACACAGCGUGAGAUUGAUAUUAUUAAUGGCCAUAAGCUUUUGAAGUUCAUGAGAAAUCGGUUGGCUCACCGUAUGGAAGCUAUACAAGCCGGCUAUACGACUUGGAAUCAGCAGUUUCAGUAUGAUUUCUCAGCUAUCAAUAGUGAGAUGGUAACUAGAGU